UCUCCUUAUCCUCGCCAUGGGGUUGCGCACGUGAAGACUGCAUCGUCUGCUACGAGUUCCUCUGUCUCUCUCUCUUCCAUUAUUACCAUUGCACCGACCACCUCUCGUCUGCUCAUGUCGCCGCCACACCCAACCUCCGCUCCAAUGAUGCGCCUGUGACCGAGGCGACGGCUGGAGUGCUUGUCCUCUUCCACUCCGGCGGCCAGAUCAGUUCGAGUUUGGCCAACAUGUGAUCUGCUGAGGAUGCGGUCCUCGUCCACGGAUCUGGCCGUGAGAAAUGAUUUUUCUUCAUUGUUUCUGCCGUUGUGAUGCAGCUCAUGCCCCUGGCAACCAAGGAUCUUGCUGCGUGAAGAGCUUUUCCCUGUUCGUGUUGUUGCAGCACUUGUGUACAAGUGCUACUUCAUGUAGCCUCAAAUCGUUUAACUCUAUUUUUAUCUAUUUUUAUCAGGAUGUGAUGCGGAUGUGAACCAUGUACACCUAUCUAUCUUCUGAUUGCAUUAGAGGAGAUAAGUUGACUGUCUAAUGUAAGGUGUGCCGCAUGUUUGGUCCUAACAAGUCUUAAAAGAAAUGUUUACAUUGUAAA